rnacentral:rRNA from 1 species
GGUUAAGCGACUAAGCGUACACGGUGGAUGCCCUGGCAGUCAGAGGCGAUGAAGGACGUGCUAAUCUGCGAUAAGCGCCGGUAAGGUGAUAUGAACCGUUAUAACCGGCGAUUUCCGAAUGGGGAAACCCAGUGUGAUUCGUCACACUAUCAUUAACUGAAUCCAUAGGUUAAUGAGGCGAACCGGGGGAACUGAAACAUCUAAGUACCCCGAGGAAAAGAAAUCAACCGAGAUUCCCCCAGUAGCGGCGAGCGAACGGGGAGGAGCCCAGAGCCUGAAUCAGCAUGUGUGUUAGUGGAAGCGUCUGGAAAGGUGCGCGAUACAGGGUGACAGCCCCGUACACAAAAGCGCAUGUGCUGUGAGCUCGAUGAGUAGGGCGGGACACGUGGUAUCCUGUCUGAAUAUGGGGGGACCAUCCUCCAAGGCUAAAUACUCCUGACUGACCGAUAGUGAACCAGUACCGUGAGGGAAAGGCGAAAAGAACCCCGGCGAGGGGAGUGAAAAAGAACCUGAAACCGUGUACGUACAAGCAGUGGGAGCACAGGUUUACCUGUGUGACUGCGUACCUUUUGUAUAAUGGGUCAGCGACUUAUAUUCUGUAGCAAGGUUAACCGUAUAGGGGAGCCGUAGGGAAACCGAGUCUUAACCGGGCGUUAAGUUGCAGGGUAUAGACCCGAAACCCGGUGAUCUAGCCAUGGGCAGGUUGAAGGUUGGGUAACACUAACUGGAGGACCGAACCGACUAAUGUUGAAAAAUUAGCGGAUGACCUGUGGCUGGGGGUGAAAGGCCAAUCAAACCGGGAGAUAGCUGGUUCUCCCCGAAAGCUAUUUAGGUAGCGCCUCGUGAAUUCAUCUCCGGGGGUAGAGCACUGUUUCGGCUAGGGGGCCAUCCCGGCUUACCAACCCGAUGCAAACUGCGAAUACCGGAGAAUGUUAUCACGGGAGACACACGGCGGGUGCUAACGUCCGUCGUGAAGAGGGAAACAACCCAGACCGCCAGCUAAGGUCCCAAAGUCAUGGUUAAGUGGGAAACGAUGUGGGAAGGCCCAGACAGCCAGGAUGUUGGCUUAGAAGCAGCCAUCAUUUAAAGAAAGCGUAAUAGCUCACUGGUCGAGUCGGCCUGCGCGGAAGAUGUAACGGGGCUAAACCAUGCACCGAAGCUGCGGCAGCGAACGUAUCACCCAAGACAACUUUACGGAGUUGACGAUUGACGGAGCGAAGCGACGUCAAAGCGUUCAUUAAAGUCGAGUUGGCUUAGGGAUACGUUCGUUGGGUAGGGGAGCGUUCUGUAAGCCUGUGAAGGUGUGUCGUGAGGCAUGCUGGAGGUAUCAGAAGUGCGAAUGCUGACAUAAGUAACGAUAAAGCGGGUGAAAAGCCCGCUCGCCGGAAGACCAAGGGUUCCUGUCCAACGUUAAUCGGGGCAGGGUGAGUCGACCCCUAAGGCGAGGCCGAAAGGCGUAGUCGAUGGGAAACGGGUUAAUAUUCCCGUACUUGGUGUUACUGCGAAGGGGGGACGGAGAAGGCUAUGUUGGCCGGGCGACGGUUGUCCCGGUUUAAGCGUGUAGGUGUGUGUUCCAGGUAAAUCCGGUUCACUUUAACACUGAGGCGUGACGACGAGGCACUACGGUGCUGAAGCAACAAAUGCCCUGCUUCCAGGAAAAGCCUCUAAGCAUCAGGUAACAUCAAAUCGUACCCCAAACCGACACAGGUGGUCAGGUAGAGAAUACCAAGGCGCUUGAGAGAACUCGGGUGAAGGAACUAGGCAAAAUGGUGCCGUAACUUCGGGAGAAGGCACGCUGACACGUAGGUGAAGUGAUUUACUCAUGGAGCUGAAGUCAGUCGAAGAUACCAGCUGGCUGCAACUGUUUAUUAAAAACACAGCACUGUGCAAACACGAAAGUGGACGUAUACGGUGUGACGCCUGCCCGGUGCCGGAAGGUUAAUUGAUGGGGUCAGCGUAAGCGAAGCUCCUGAUCGAAGCCCCGGUAAACGGCGGCCGUAACUAUAACGGUCCUAAGGUAGCGAAAUUCCUUGUCGGGUAAGUUCCGACCUGCACGAAUGGCGUAAUGAUGGCCAGGCUGUCUCCACCCGAGACUCAGUGAAAUUGAACUCGCUGUGAAGAUGCAGUGUACCCGCGGCAAGACGGAAAGACCCCGUGAACCUUUACUAUAGCUUGACACUGAACAUUGAGCCUUGAUGUGUAGGAUAGGUGGGAGGCUUUGAAGUGUGGACGCCAGUCUGCAUGGAGCCGACCUUGAAAUACCACCCUUUAAUGUUUGAUGUUCUAACGUGGACCCGUAAUCCGGGUUGCGGACAGUGUCUGGUGGGUAGUUUGACUGGGGCGGUCUCCUCCUAAAGAGUAACGGAGGAGCACGAAGGUUGGCUAAUCCUGGUCGGACAUCAGGAGGUUAGUGCAAUGGCAUAAGCCAGCUUGACUGCGAGCGUGACGGCGCGAGCAGGUGCGAAAGCAGGUCAUAGUGAUCCGGUGGUUCUGAAUGGAAGGGCCAUCGCUCAACGGAUAAAAGGUACUCCGGGGAUAACAGGCUGAUACCGCCCAAGAGUUCAUAUCGACGGCGGUGUUUGGCACCUCGAUGUCGGCUCAUCACAUCCUGGGGCUGAAGUAGGUCCCAAGGGUAUGGCUGUUCGCCAUUUAAAGUGGUACGCGAGCUGGGUUUAGAACGUCGUGAGACAGUUCGGUCCCUAUCUGCCGUGGGCGCUGGAGAACUGAGGGGGGCUGCUCCUAGUACGAGAGGACCGGAGUGGACGCAUCACUGGUGUUCGGGUUGUCAUGCCAAUGGCACUGCCCGGUAGCUAAAUGCGGAAGAGAUAAGUGCUGAAAGCAUCUAAGCACGAAACUUGCCCCGAGAUGAGUUCUCCCUGAGACUUAGAGUCUCCUGAAGGAACGUUGAAGACGACGACGUUGAUAGGCCGGGUGUGUAAGCGCAGCGAUGCGUUGAGCUAACCGGUACUAAUGAACCGUGAGGCUUAACCUU